GUGCUCGCUUCAGCAGCACAUAUACUAAAAAUGGAACAAUACAGAGAAGAUUAGAAUGGCCCUUGCACAAGGAUGACACACAAACUCGUGAAGCAUUCCAUAUUUUU